rnacentral:rRNA from 1 species
GUGAAAUUGUUGAAAGGGAAACGCUUGAAGUCAGUCACGUUGGCUGGAAAUCAACCUUGCUUCUGCCGGGCGUACUUUCUGGUUAACGGGUCAGCAUCAAUUUUGACCAUUGGAAAAAAUUCAGAGGAAAGUGGCAUCUUCGGAUGUGUUAUAGCCUCUGUCUGCAUACAAUGGUUGGGAUUGAGGAUCUCAGCACGCCGCAAGGCCGGGUUUCGACCACGUUCGUGCUUAGGAUGCUGGCAUAAUGACUUUAAUCGACCCGUCUUGAAACACGGACCAAGGAGUC